rnacentral:lncRNA from 1 species
AACGACAAUGAAUUAUGCUAGUGUAGUAGCUCAAUCAGAAGUGAUUCUGAGGUCACAAGGAUUGCGAGUCAAAUGUCCUAGUUUCUGUUUUUAUUUUUGGUGGAGCUAUAGGUGGCUAAACAAGGGAGGCUAUAGUACUAAAAAUCAAGUGGUUUGAUGUGCUCAAAAGAUAUAAUGUUGCUGGUAUAUAAAUCACCAAGAACCUAAAUAUGUAAACUAAAUUUUUCAGUAAGAAAACCGCAAUAUAACCCCUUUCCUCUUUUUUUACUUCUCUUUUGGAUCUUUCUUUUCCUCUUCUUUUCUCUAAACUUUUUUCUUUGAUUCUUUUUACAUUAAUAGGGGUGUGGAUAACAAAUGAAAUACGACACAAUAUAUGUAAAGAUGGUGACUAGCAACUUGAUGAACACAAAAAACACAAGAUAAUAGUAUCAUCAAAGGGCUAUAGGAUUUUUUGUGGCUUUUUCAAUGGACUAUAGAUGAUGAACAAAUUAAUAAUAAACGAUAGAUAAACUAAAGGUAAAUAUGUGGAUGAUUGUGAGACCUACUGUGACCUGAUAUGAGUUAGUAGGUACCGAUAUGAAUCGGCAUGAGGGUGGCUCGAUCUUCAUGAUAGUAGAUCGAAAAAACAAAGAUAACUUGCUACAAACAUAUAGCUUUAUACCUGACAAAGGUUGGAUGCGACCAAGCGACAAGGAGAGAGGCACCGAAACCGUAAAGACUUUGACUCGAUCUUUGAACAACCACAGAACCAUAAUCUAAAGCAAAUCCACACAAAACGGUGUAGCCGAACAGUCUACAGAGCACAAACUAGAGGAACCCAGAGGAUUCACUUCACAAGUCCA